rnacentral:rRNA from 1 species
UACGUAGGGGUGCAACGUUUGUCCGGAAUUAUUGGGCGUAAAGAGCUCGUAGGCGGUCUGUUGCGUCGGCUGUGAAAACCCGGGGCUCAACUCCGGGCCUGCAGCCGAUACGGGCAGACUAGAGUUCGGCAGGGGAGACUGGAAUUCCUGGUGUAGCGGUGAAAUGCGCAGAUAUCAGGAGGAACACCGGUGGCGAAGGCGGGUCUCUGGGCCGAUACUGACGCUGAGGAGCGAAAGCGUGGGGAGCGAACAGG